rnacentral:misc_RNA from 1 species
AAAGUCGUAACAAGGUAACCGUAGGUGAACCUGCGGUUGGAUCAUUAACAAAUUCAACUAAAGAGGGGUGUAAAAACCUCUUCUUUAAACACUUGUGCACCUGUAAUUGUCCCUGGUGGGUUGGUUCACGCCGGCCCACCGUUAUUAAACUAUAAGUAUUCUAUUGGUCAUUUAAAAAGUUAUUUAAUUUUAAACAACUUUUGGCAACGGAUCUCUUGGUUCUC